AAUCUCAGUAUUUUUAUAAAUUGUAAAGUUAUUUUCCGUAUCUCUUGGACAUAAUGGUAUUUUUGUGACUGUGAUAUUUUGUCAUUUUAUUUUCUUCUCUCACAGCGUCAGUGGAGGUCAGCAGGAGGUCCCUGCAGGCUUGCACUGCCCUGCUGGUUAUCACUGCUGGUGACUCAUGCAGCCAGCCUGCUGAUGCCCUGAGCUGGCCUGUUCAGCUUGGUGUCCAGAGGGCUCUGCUGUGGGCCCGGGGGGAGGGAACCACGCACCUUCCUCUGUGGAACUGUGGCUGCUUUCCCCCUUCCUCAUCCUGUUCUUCAUCUGCCCCAGCCUGUGAAGGGAACUCCUCGUGCCUGGGCAGGCUUAUGGGUGCCGGGAGGCUGGGGAGCUGGCUCACGCUCUGAGUGGGCUUCCCUGGCCAGUCCUGUGCCCCAUCACCAGCCUCGCUCUGUGGUCUUUGCCCUGGUGCACUGGGCGGUACCACUUCACCACGUCUUUCAGUGGUCCUUCCGUGUGUUCCAAAGCUUCUGGAUUUCAAAUGUUGCUGUGCUCACAGAAACCUGAUGGUUUACACACCAAGCAAUACCACCACCACCACCGCCACCACCACAACAACAAAAUAAUG
rnacentral:lncRNA from 1 species